CCCUUAGAUGUUCUGGGCCGCACGCGCGCUACACUGACGAAUGCAACGAGCUUAUAAUAACCUUGGCCGAAAGGUCUGGGUAAUCUCCAAAUUUCGUCGUGAUGGGGAUAGAUUAUUGCAAUUAUUAAUCUUCAACGAGGAAUGCCUAGUAAGCGCAAGUCAUCAGCUUGCGUUGAUUACGUCCCUGCCCUUUGUACACACCGCCCGUCGCUCCUACCGAUUGAAUGGUCCGGUGAAGCGUUCGGACCGUGGCCUUUGGACGGUUCGCCGUCUGUUGGCUGCGGGAAGUUCGUUAAACCUUAUCAUUUAGAGGAAGGAGAANUCGUAACA
rnacentral:rRNA from 1 species